UAGAGAGAGACAUGCGCGCAUAUCAAUAAGCGGAGGAAAAGAAACUAACAAGGAUUCCCUUAGUAACGGCGAGUGAAGCGGGAAGAGCUCAAAUUUGAAAUCUUCAAGGUUUUACCUUGACGAAUUGUAGUUUAAAGAAGUGUUUUCUGCUGAAGUUUUGGUAAAAGUUCUUUGGAAUAGGACAUCAUAUGAGGGUGAGAAUCCCGUAUUUGACCAUUAUUUUCAGCUUUGUGAUACACUUUCAAAGAGUCGGAUUGUUUGGGAAUGCAGUCCAAAAUGGGUGGUAAAUUUCAUCUAAAGCUAAAUAUUGGCGAGAGACCGAUAGCGAACAAGUACCGUGAGGGAAAGAUGAAAAGAACUUUGAAAAGAGAGUUAAACAGUACGUGAAAUUGUCAAAAGGGAAGCGUUUGACACCAGUGUUGUUUUCUCGAAAAUCAAUUAAAAAUGGCUCGAUUUUGUAUUGUUGAGACCUUAAAAGCUCACUGUACAUUUUUCGUGUCUUUUUUAAUGCACUUCUCGUUUAACAAGUCAACAUCAGUUUCUUUUGUUGUAAAAGGGUCAUUGGAAGGUGGCUUUCUUUUCGGAGAAAGUGUUUAUAGCCUUUGGCCUCUGCAAUCGGAAGAGACUGAGGUCUGCAGCGUAGACUCUUCGGGGUUAGAUACAUUUGUGCUAAGUUAUAGCUUUUUAUAGACAACUUGUUGACUAUAAUUAGUCUUGUAGCUUACUCGCUUAUGCUAUUUUACCUACGCUUAGGAUGUUGAAGUCAUCGUAUCGCGC
rnacentral:rRNA from 1 species